CGUUAAACCUGAGUCACUCAAUUCAAGCAGUUCAGCGCAAAAGGUGGUUAGACGGCCCCCUCUUUAGAGGUACUAGGAAAAGAGGGAGCCGAUCCGGGAAGGAUAAGGGUGCAAUCUGGUUAACCCUCCUGAGGAAAGGGGGAAUUUUCCCUUUAGGCUGAAACCACGGAACCGGUAAACCGAAGACAUGGAUUAGGUACCCAUUUAUUGCCGACGCAAACUUUGCUUGUUGGGGCGGCUGCUUGAGUACUACGAGCGUGUGCUUAAAACUCAAAGAAUUUGGCGGCUCGUUAACUACCUAGGGGAAUAUGUGCCUUAAUCCGAUGAUACCCGUUAUAUCUUACUGCGCCUUGAAAACGAACAGUUGGUGUAUUGCCGUUGUCAGCUUGUUGUCCUAGCAAAAAGUAACAGGCUUAAUGGAACUAUUAAUGAGUUAAUAAGGUCCGUGAAUUCAGGUCGAAAUGCUGCCUAUGGUGCGAGGGAGUAGGUAUUACAGUUUAAAUUUAAAAUACGGAUCUCAUUUUUCUGUGAAAUCUCUGAGAGAAGGUGGACUUAGGAGUAAGGGGGGAUUAACAUGCCCCCCUGAACGUGAAUCUAACUUGUGUACAAACCGCCCGUCGCUCUCGCCGGAAGGGGAGAUAAGUCGUAACAAGGUAGGGGGU
rnacentral:rRNA from 1 species